AAAGACUGACGCUCAUGCACGAAAGCGUGGGGAUCAAACAGGAUUAGAUACCCUGGUAGUCCACGCUGUAAACGAUGAUCACUCGUUGUUGGCGAUAUACUGUCAGCGACUGAGCGAAAGCAUUAAGUGAUCCACCUGGGGAGUACGGCGGCAACGUUGAAACUCAAAGGAAUUGACGGGGGCCCGCACAAGCGGAGGAGCAUGUGGUUUAAUUCGAUGAUACGCGAGGAACCUUACCUGGGCUUAAAUGCAGAACGACGUUUCGUGAAAGCGGAAUUUCCUUCGGGACGUUUUGCAAGGUGCUGCAUGGUUGUCGUCAGCUCGUGCCGUGAGGUGUCGGGUUAAGUCCCAUAACGAGCGCAACCCUUAUCAUUAGUUGCCAUCAGGUCAUGCUGGGAACUCUAAUGAAACUGCCUACGCAAGUAGUGAGGAAGGUGGGGAUGACGUCAAAUCAGCACGGCCCUUAUGUCCAGGGCGACACACGUGCUACAAUGGCCAGUACAGAGGGUUGCAAA
rnacentral:rRNA from 1 species